GACAGAGGAUGCAAGCGUUAUCCGGAAUGAUUGGGCGUAAAGCGUCUGUAGGUGGCUUUUAAGUCCGCCGUCAAAUCCCAGGGCUCAACCCUGGACAGGCGGUGGAAACUACCAAGCUGGAGUACGGUAGGGGCAGAGGGAAUUUCCGGUGGAGCGGUGAAAUGCGUAGAGAUCCGGAAGAACACCGGUGGCGAAGGCGGUCUGCUGGGCCAAGACUGACGCUGAGGCGCGACAGCGUGGGGAGCAAACAGG
rnacentral:rRNA from 1 species